GGGUGCGAUCAUUCUAGCACUAAUGCACUGGAUCCCAUUAGAACUCCGUAGUUAAGCGUGCUUGGGUGAGGGUAGUACUGGGAUGGGUGACCUCUUGGGAAGUCCUCGUGUUGCACCUC
rnacentral:rRNA from 1 species